GAGUUUGAUCUUGGCUCAGGACGAACGCUGGCGGUGUGCCUAACACAUGCAAGUCGAGCGAGAGCCGGUCGAGGGGUAACCCUUGACCGGGGAGAGCGGCGAACGGGGUGAGUAACACGUGGGUAACCUGCCCCAGACACUGGGAUAACACCGGGAAACCGGUGCUAAUACCGGAUACUCUCGGCGGAUCGCAUGAUCUGCCGAGGAAAGCUCCGACGGUCUGGGAUGGGCCCGCGGCCUAUCAGCUUGUUGGUGGGGUAACGGCCUACCAAGGCUUCGACGGGUAGCUGGCGUGAGAGCGUGGCCAGCCACACUGGGACUGAGACACGGCCCAGACUCCUACGGGAGGCAGCAGUGGGGAAUAUUGCGCUAAUGCGCGAAAGCGUGACGCAGCGACACCGCGUGGGGGAUGAAUGCCUUCGGUUGUAACCCUUUCGUACAGGGAAGAAGCUAACGCGACGGUACCUGUAGAAGAAGUACCGGCUAACUACGUGCCAGC
rnacentral:rRNA from 1 species